GACGAACGCUGGCGGCGUGCUUAACACAUGCAAGUCGAACGGAAAGGCCCUGCUUUUGUGGGGUGCUCGAGUGGCGAACGGGUGAGUAACACGUGAGUAACCUGCCCUUGACUUUGGGAUAACUUCAGGAAACUGGGGUUAAUACCGGAUAGGAGCUCCUGCUGCAUGGUGGGGGUUGGAAAGUUUCGGCGGUUGGGGAUGGACUCGCGGCUUAUCAGCUUGGUGGUGGGGUAGUGGCUUACCAAGGCUUUGACGGGUAGCCGGCCUGAGAGGGUGACCGGCCACAUGGGGACUGAGGUACGGCCCAGACUCCUACGGGAGGCAGCAGUGGGGAAUAUUGCACAAUGGGCGGAAGCCUGAUGCAGCAACGCCGCGUGCGGGAUGACGGCCUUCGGGUUGUAAACCGCUUUCGCCUGUGACGAAGCGUGAGUGACGGUAAUGGGUAAAGAAGCACCGGCUAACUACGUG
rnacentral:rRNA from 1 species